CUUCAGGCUCACUGAAGACGACCCCCAAGGCCAGUAGGUUCGUGUACGCCCGUCUGACCCCAGCCAUGUAGUGCCGGUGUUCCCUCUGAAGUGCGACUCUGUUCAGGGGAACCUCCUGUGCAGGAUGAGCAGGUUUGGUACAUACGUAAACGUGUGUCAUGAGGGUUUGCGGCACAGGUUACUUCAUCAUCCACAUAGUAAGCCUAAUAUCAGUUAUUUUCCUGAUCCUCCCCCUCCUCCCACCAUCCACCGUCCAGUUGGCCCCAAGCUCACAAAUUCUA